UUGGAGGGCAAGUCUGGUGCCAGCAGCCGCGGUAAUUCCAGCUCCAAUAGCGUAUAUUAAAGUUGCUGCAGUUAAAAAGCUCGUAGUUGAAUUUCGGGACCAUCAUGUCGGUCGUGCCUCGGUACGUACUGGUAUUGUUGGUUUCUCCCUUCUGACGAACCAUGAUGUCAUUCAUUUGGUGUUGUGGGGAAUCAGGACUGUUACUUUGAAAAAAUUAGAGUGUUUAAAGCAGGCUCACGCUUGAAUACAUUAGCAUGGAAUAAUGAAAUAGGACGUUUGAUUCUAUUUUGUUGGUUUCUAGGAUUGACGUAAUGAUUAAUAGGGAUAGUUGGGGGCAUUAGUAUUCAAUUGUCAGAGGUGAAAUUCUUGGAUUUAUUGAAGACUAACUACUGCGAAAGCAUUUGCCAAGGAUGUUUUCAUUAAUCAAGAACGAAAGUUAGGGGAUCGAAGACGAUCAGAUACCGUCGUAGUCUUAACCAUAAACUAUGCCGACUAGGGAUCGGAUGAUGUUAAUUUUUUAAUGACUCAUUCGGCGCCUUACGGGAAAC
rnacentral:rRNA from 1 species